AUUGAACGCUGGCGGCAGGCUUAACACAUGCAAGUCGAGCGGAGAUGAGGUGCUUGCACCUUAUCUUAGCGGCGGACGGGUGAGUAAUGCUUAGGAAUCUGCCUAUUAGUGGGGGACAACAUUCCGAAAGGAAUGCUAAUACCGCAUACGUCCUACGGGAGAAAGCAGGGGAUCUUCGGACCUUGCGCUAAUAGAUGAGCCUAAGUCGGAUUAGCUAGUUGGUGGGGUAAAGGCCUCCCAAGGCGACGAUCUGUAGCGGGUCUGAGAGGAUGAUCCGCCACACUGGGACUGAGGCACGGCCCAGACUCCUACGGGAGGCAGCAGUGGGGAAUAUUGGACAAUGGGGGGAACCCUGAUCCAGCCAUGCCGCGUGUGUGAAGAAGGCCUUAUGGUUGUAAAGCACUUUAAGCGAGGAGGAGGCUACUGAGACUAAUACUCUUGGAUAGUGGACGUUACUCGCAGAAUAAGCACCGGCUAACUCUGUGCCAGCCGCCGCCGUAAUAC
rnacentral:rRNA from 1 species